AUCCAGUUAACGAGUCCCAAAUCGGGCGAAAUGCACGUCCUGGAU
rfam:Schistosoma rodhaini strain Burundi genome assembly, scaffold: SROB_scaffold0011724